ensembl:snRNA U6 U6 spliceosomal RNA
GUACUUGAUUUGACAGCACAUAUACUAAAACUGGAAUGAUAAGAAGAUUAGCAUGACUCCAGCACAAUGAUGACCUGCAAAUUUGCUAGGCAUUCCAUAAAGCA